UUUAUAAUAUAUACGAAUUCAAGCCCACAAAACACGGAGGCUCAGAGGAAUUAACUUCUCUAAGGCCACAGGGAGAUUUAGAGCCAAAAUGAGAACUCAUGGCAGUGUGAUUCUAAAGUUCUCAUGGUGAGCAGCUUUACUACACGUCCCCCAAACUAAAGAGCAGCGAUGAUUCAAACUGCCACCUGGAUGCCUCUACUUAUAUACUUAAUAAAACUCUCUCUUCCUGGUAUCUAACAGGAUGAUCUCAUUCAUAGCAUGGUGAAACUGGAGGCGCCCUGAAGAUUCCUCUUCAAGGGAGGACUG
rnacentral:lncRNA from 10 species